UAGGGAAUCUUCCACAAUGGACGAAAGUCUGAUGGAGCAACGCCGCGUGAGUGAUGAAGGGUUUCGGCUCGUAAAACUCUGUUGUUGGAGAAGAACAGGUGUGAGAGUAACUGUUCACAUCUUGACGGUAUCCAACCAGAAAGCCACGGCUAACUACGUGCCAGCAGCCGCGGUAAUACGUAGGUGGCAAGCGUUGUCCGGAUUUAUUGGGCGUAAAGCGAGCGCAGGCGGUUUCUUAGGUCUGAUGUGAAAGCCUUCGGCUUAACCGGAGAAGUGCAUCGGAAACCAGGAGACUUGAGUGCAGAAGAGGACAGUGGAACUCCAUGUGUAGCGGUGAAAUGCGUAGAUAUAUGGAAGAACACCAGUGGCGAAGGCGGCUGUCUGGUCUGUAACUGACGCUGAGGCUCGAAAGCAUGGGUAGCGAACAGGAUUAGAUACCCUGGUAGUCCAUGCCGUAAACGAUGAGUGCUAAGUGUUGGAGGGUUUCCG
rnacentral:rRNA from 1 species